CCCUUAGAUGUUCUGGGCCACACGCGCGUUACACUGAUGACGCCAGCGAGUAUAUCGCCUUCACCGGAAGGUGCGGGUAAUCUUGUGAAACUUCAUCGUGCUGGGGAUAGACCAUUGCAAUUAUUGGUCUUGAACGAGGAAUUCCUAGUAAGCAUGAGUCAUCAACUCGUGCUGAUUACGUCCCUGCCCUUUGUACACACCGCCCGUCGCUACUACCGAUUGAAUGGUUUAGUGAGAUCUCGGGAUUGGAGACGUUGCGCCGCAAGGCACAUCGUCCUCGAGAACUUGAUCAAACUUGAUCAUUUAGAGGAAGUAAAAGUCGUAACA
rnacentral:rRNA from 1 species